rnacentral:rRNA from 1 species
GCUGUUAAGGGUUCGUAGUUGAAUUGGGGGUUGCCAUGGAAACGGCUCCGUCCUCUUCCCGUGAAGUGAGACCGCCGCUCAUGCAACUCGUGAGCAUCAGAAACAGAAUCCACGGGAUUGGACCUCCCAAAUUACGCAUGCAAUGUAUGCAGGGGGGCGCCCGUGAUACUUACUGUGCAAAAGAAGUGUGACCAAAGCAGUCAAACGACAUGAAUUAGAAAGCAUGGGAUAACAAAGGGCAGCCUACGGGCUACCGUUUCGGCUUUUGUUGGUUUUAAAGGUCUGUGGGAGACUAUGGCUUCCGUGCAAACGCGGUCAGGGCUUGCCCCCCGCCUUCUGUGCUGCCCACGUGUGGUCGUACAGACACGGCUGUCCAGGAAUGAGGGAGGGUCGUUCGGGGGAGAACGUACUUGACGUGAGAGGUGAAAUUCUUAGACCGUUCAAAGACGAACUACAGCGAAGGCAUUCUCCAGGAUACCUUCCUCAAUCAAGAACCAAAGUGUGGAGAUCGAAGAUGAUUAGAUACCAUUGUGUCC